rnacentral:rRNA from 1 species
UUGGAGGGCAAGUCUGGUGCCAGCAGCCGCGGUAUUUCCAGCUCCAAUAGCGUAUAUUAAAGUUGUUGCAGUUAAAAAGCUCGUAGUUGAAUUUCGAGAUCAAUUUGUCGGUCGUGCCUCGGUACGUACUGGCAUUAUUGAUUUCUCCCUUCUGAAGAACCGCGAUGCCAUUAAUUUGGUGUCGUGGGGAAUCAGGACUGUUACUUUGAAAAAAUUAGAGUGUUUAAAGCAGGCGCACGCUUGAGUACAUUAGCAUGGAAUAAUGAAAUAGGACGUUUGAUUCUAUUUUGUUGGUUUCUAGGAUCGACGUAAUGAUUAAUAGGGAUAGUUGGGGGCAUUAGUAUUCAAUUGUCAGAGGUGAAAUUCUCGGAUUUAUUGAAGACUAACUACUGCGAAAGCAUUUGCCAAGGAUGUUUUCAUUAAUCAAGAACGAAAGUUAGGGGAUCGAAGACGAUCAGAUACCGUCGUAGUCUUAACCAUAAACUAUGCCGACUAGGGAUCGGAUGAUGUUAAUUUUUUAAUGACUCAUUCGGCGCCUUACGGGAAACCAAAGUGUUUGGGUUC